rnacentral:rRNA from 1 species
UAGCGGCGAGCGAACGGGGAGGAGCCCAGAGCCUGAAUCAGCAUGUGUGUUAGUGGAAGCGUCUGGAAAGGCGCGCGAUACAGGGUGACAGCCCCGUACACAAAAGCGCAUGUGCUGUGAGCUCGAUGAGUAGGGCGGGACACGUGGUAUCCUGUCUGAAUAUGGGGGGACCAUCCUCCAAGGCUAAAUACUCCUGACUGACCGAUAGUGAACCAGUACCGUGAGGGAAAGGCGAAAAGAACCCCGGCGAGGGGAGUGAAAAAGAACCUGAAACCGUGUACGUACAAGCAGUGGGAGCACCCUUUGGGGUGUGACUGCGUACCUUUUGUAUAAUGGGUCAGCGACUUAUAUUCUGUAGCAAGGUUAACCGUAUAGGGGAGCCGGAGGGAAACCGAGUCUUAACCGGGCGUUAAGUUGCAGGGUAUAGACCCGAAACCCGGUGAUCUAGCCAUGGGCAGGUUGAAGGUUGGGUAACACUAACUGGAGGACCGAACCGACUAAUGUUGAAAAAUUAGCGGAUGACCUGUGGCUGGGGGUGAAAGGCCAAUCAAACCGGGAGAUAGCUGGUUCUCCCCGAAAGCUAUUUAGGUAGCGCCUCGUGAAUUCAUCUCCGGGGGUAGAGCACUGUUUCGGCUAGGGGGCCAUCCCGGCUUACCAACCCGAUGCAAACUGCGAAUACCGGAGAAUGUUAUCACGGGAGACACACGGCGGGUGCUAACGUCCGUCGUGAAGAGGGAAACAACCCAGACCGCCAGCUAAGGUCCCAAAGUCAUGGUUAAGUGGGAAACGAUGUGGGAAGGCCCAGACAGCCAGGAUGUUGGCUUAGAAGCAGCCAUCAUUUAAAGAAAGCGUAAUAGCUCACUGGUCGAGUCGGCCUGCGCGGAAGAUGUAACGGGGCUAAACCAUGCACCGAAGCUGCGGCAGCGACGCUGAUGCGUUGUUGGGUAGGGGAGCGUUCUGUAAGCCUGCGAAGGUGGCCUGUGAGGGUUGCUGGAGGUAUCAGAAGUGCGAAUGCUGACAUAAGUAACGAUAAAGCGGGUGAAAAGCCCGCUCGCCGGAAGACCAAGGGUUCCUGUCCAACGUUAAUCGGGGCAGGGUGAGUCGACCCCUAAGGCGAGGCCGAAAGGCGUAGUCGAUGGGAAACGGGUUAAUAUUCCCGUACUUGGUGUUACUGCGAAGGGGGGACGGAGAAGGCUAUGUUGGCCGGGCGACGGUU